rnacentral:rRNA from 1 species
GAGUUUGAUUCUGGCUCAGGAUGAACGCUGGCGGUAUGCUUAACACAUGCAAGUCGAACGGAACUCUUCGGAGUUUAGUGGCGGACGGGUGAGUAACGCGUGAGAAUCGGCCCUCAGGUUGGGGACAACCAUUGGAAACGGUGGCUAAUACCGAAUAAGCCGAAAGGUGAAAGAUUAAUCGCCUGAGGAUGAGCUCGCGUCUGAUUAGCUAGUUGGUGGGGUAAAGGCUUACCAAGGCUCCGAUCAGUAACUGGUCUGAGAGGAUGACCAGUCACACUGGGACUGAGACACGGCCCAGACUCCUACGGGAGGCAGCAGUGGGGAAUUUUCCGCAAUGGGCGAAAGCCUGACGGAGCAAUACCGCGUGAGGGAGGAAGGCUCUUGGGUUGUAAACCUCUUUUCUCAGGGAAGAACAAUGACGGUACCUGAGGAAUCAGCAUCGGCUAACUCCGUGCCAGCAGCCGCGGUAAUACGGAGGAUGCAAGCGUUAUCCGGAAUUAUUGGGCGUAAAGCGUCUGUAGGUGGAUAUUCAAGUCUGCUGUCAAAGACCGGGGCUUAACCCUGGAAAGGCAGUGGAAACUGAAGAUCUAGAGUGCGGUAGGGGCAGAGGGAAUUCCCAGUGUAGCGGUGAAAUGCGUAGAGAUUGGGAAGAACACCGGUGGCGAAAGCGCUCUGCUGGGCCUGCACUGACACUAAGGGACGAAAGCUAGGGGAGCGAAUGGGAUUAGAUACCCCAGUAGUCCUAGCCGUAAACGAUGGAUACUAGGCGUAGCUUGUAUCGACCCAAGCUGUGCCGUAGCUAACGCGUUAAGUAUCCCGCCUGGGGAGUACGCUCGCAAGAGUGAAACUCAAAUGAAUUGACGGGG